GUGCUUGCACUUGGUCAAGGUGAGUGGCGAACGGGUGAGUAACACGUGGGUAACCUACCUCAUAGUGGGGGAUAACAGUCGGAAACGACUGCUAAUACCGCAUAGGACAUGGAAUCACAUGAUUCUGUGAGGAAAGGUGGCGCAAGCUAUCGCUAAGAGAUGGACCCGCGGUGCAUUAGCUAGUUGGUAGGGUAACGGCCUACCAAGGCGAUGAUGCAUAGCCGACCUGAGAGGGUGAUCGGCCACAUUGGGACUGAGACACGGCCCAAACUCCUACGGGAGGCAGCAGUAGGGAAUCUUCCGCAAUGGACGCAAGUCUGACGGAGCAACGCCGCGUGAGUGAAGAAGGUCUUCGGAUCGUAAAGCUCUGUUGUUAGAGAAGAACAGCGCAUAGAGUAACUGUUAUGCGUGUGACGGUAUCUAACCAGAAAGCCACGGCUAACUACGUGCCAGCAGCCGCGGUAAUACGUAGGUGGCGAGCGUUGUCCGGAUUUAUUGGGCGUAAAGGGAGUGUAGGCGGUCUUUUAAGUCUGAUGUGAAAGCCCACGGCUCAACCGUGGAGGGUCAUUGGAAACUGGGAGACUUGAGUGCAGAAGAGGAGAGCGGAAUUCCAUGUGUAGCGGUGAAAUGCGUAGAUAUAUGGAGGAACACCAGUGGCGAAGGCGGCUCUCUGGUCUGUAACUGACGCUGAGGCUCGAAAGCGUGGGGAGC
rnacentral:rRNA from 1 species